UAAUUCAAAACAUCUACACAAAUGCAUUGAUUUCAAGGGGGAAAUCGCUCAUUUCUUCAUCAAAAUAAAUAUUACAAAAAAGACAAGAUUAUCAUUGUGUUUCUUUUUUUUGUUGAUGAGAUAUAAUUUUUCAAAAUUUGAGGAUGAGGUAUCACUGCCAAUAUGACAUUUCUCCAUCAGAGACCAAAUCACAUAUAUAUAGAAGUUAACAACAAUAGGUCACAAUAAGGCCCCCAACAAUGAGCAAAACACAUAUCACACAAUAAGCAUGGAAAGGCCCCGAAAUCACAAAUGUUUAACAAUUCAAACUAAAGAGAAGACUAACGGCAACAAAAUAAACGAAAAAUAAAUGCGAUGUACAGCAACGAACAACAACCAUUGAAUUGCAGGCUCUAGGGACAGGCACAUAUAGAUGCGAUGGGUUUGUAUAAGCAAAAUCCGCUAGGUCCUCCCGGCAGUUAUCAUUAAAAGAGUUACGCGGCGUAAAUGAUAAAAGAAAUAUGGCCACAAUAGAAACACUAUUAGUAUACAGAAACUGUAUACACCUUCCCUUUUCUAAAAUUAAAAUACGUGCCCUUUUAGAUUAUCGCACAUUGUUUGUAUAUUGAUCAAUGUAAGGUAUAGGUUGGAUUUCUUUCAGAGCAUUCAUCUAUCUUUUAUCUGUCUAUCAGCUUAGGGACGACAUCAAAAGAUCGAUGUAGGAUAACAAACUUAAAUCAAAUAGUUUGGGGGUGGGGGGUCAACAUUGCUGCAAGUUUUAUUAAUCUAAAAUCGAUUUUACGUAUAUCCCUAUUGGUCAAUCUAUUUUUCCCAAAUUAAGUUAA
rnacentral:lncRNA from 1 species